rnacentral:rRNA from 1 species
UGCAUAUCAAAUAAGCGGAGGAAAAGAAACCAACAGGGAUUGCCUUAGUAACGGCGAGUGAAGCGGCAAAAGCUCAAAUUUGAAAUCUGGCACCUUCGGUGUCCGAGUUGUAAUUUGAAGAAGGUAACUUUGGAGUUGGCUCUUGUCUAUGUUCCUUGGAACAGGACGUCACAGAGGGUGAGAAUCCCGUGCGAUGAGAUGCCCAAUUCUAUGUAAAGUGCUUUCGAAGAGUCGAGUUGUUUGGGAAUGCAGCUCUAAGUGGGUGGUAAAUUCCAUCUAAAGCUAAAUAUUGGCGAGAGACCGAUAGCGAACAAGUACAGUGAUGGAAAGAUGAAAAGAACUUUGAAAAGAGAGUGAAAAAGUACGUGAAAUUGUUGAAAGGGAAGGGCUUGAGAUCAGACUUGGUAUUUUGCGAUCCUUUCCUUCUUGGUUGGGUUCCUCGCAGCUUACUGGGCCAGCAUCGGUUUGGAUGGUAGGAUAAUGACUAAGGAAUGUGGCUCUACUUCGGUGGAGUGUUAUAGCCUUGGUUGAUACUGCCUGUCUAGACCGAGGACUGCGUCUUUUGACUAGGAUGUUGGCAUAAUGAUCUUAAGCCACCCGUCUUGAAACCACGG